rnacentral:lncRNA from 1 species
UAGAAUUCUGCAAUGUAUCUUUCGUCGUAGAGAUGAAAACUUUGUGACGAAAGGUUUAUGCAGCAAUAUAGGAACAUUUUUUUUUUUGGAUUUUCGAAUAAGGAUAACUAAAUUACAGCAGCAGUAAGGUAGGAAACCAGAACCUGUUGCAAUUCACGGGGAGAUCAAAGGAUGAUCCGCGGUGGUGGAGAUGAUGACGGAAUUCGGUGAC